CCUACGGGAGGCAGCAGUGGGGAAUAUUGGACAAUGGGCGCAAGCCUGAUCCAGCAAUGCCGCGUGAGUGAUGAAGGCCUUAGGGUUGUAAAGCUCUUUUACCAGGGAUGAUAAUGACAGUACCUGGAGAAUAAGCUCCGGCUAACUCCGUGCCAGCAGCCGCGGUAAUACGGAGGGAGCUAGCGUUGUUCGGAAUUACUGGGCGUAAAGCGUACGUAGGCGGUUAUUCAAGUCAGAGGUGAAAGCCCGGGGCUCAACCCCGGAACUGCCUUUGAAACUAGGUAGCUAGAAUCUUGGAGAGGUCAGUGGAAUUCCGAGUGUAGAGGUGAAAUUCGUAGAUAUUCGGAAGAACACCAGUGGCGAAGGCGACUGACUGGACAAGUAUUGACGCUGAGGUACGAAAGCAUGGGGAGCAAACAGGAUUAGAUACCCUGGUAGUCCACGCCGUAAACGAUGAUAACUAGCUGUCCGGUCACUGUGACGUGGUGGCGCNGCUACGACAUUAAGUUAUCCGUCCGUCGGGUAGGUACGGUCGCGAAGAAGUUAAAACGUUAAAAGGUAAAGUUAGUACGGACGUGAGACGUGCCGACGGACGACGACGACGGGAGGUAGG
rnacentral:rRNA from 1 species